rnacentral:piRNA from 1 species
UAAUGUGUACUGUCAUUCUAAUGUGAAA